rnacentral:rRNA from 1 species
GACGAACGCUGGCGGCGUGCUUAACACAUGCAAGUCGAACGGAAAGGCCCUGCUUUUGUGGGGUGCUCGAGUGGCGAACGGGUGAGUAACACGUGAGUAACCUGCCCUUGACUUUGGGAUAACUUCAGGAAACUGGGGCUAAUACCGGAUAGGAGCUCCUGCUGCAUGGUGGGGGUUGGAAAGUUUCGGCGGUUGGGGAUGGACUCGCGGCUUAUCAGCUUGUUGGUGUGGUAGUUGCUUACCAAGGCUUUGACGGGUAGCCGGCCUGGGAGGGUGACCGGCCUCAAUGGGACUGAGAGACGGCGCAGACUCGUACGGGAGGCAGCAGGGGGGAAUAUUGCACAAUGGGCGGAAGCCUGAUGCAGCAACGCCGCGUGCGGGAUGACGGCCUUCGGGUUGUAAACAGCUGUCGAAUGUGACGAAGAGUGAGUGACGGUAAUGGGUAAAGAAGCACCGGCUAACUACGUG